rnacentral:rRNA from 1 species
UGGGGAAUUUUGGACAAUGGGCGAAAGCCUGAUCCAGCAAUGCCGCGUGUGUGAAGAAGGCCUUCGGGUUGUAAAGCACUUUUGUCCGGAAAGAAAUCCUUGGCUCUAAUACAGUCGGGGGAUGACGGUACCGGAAGAAUAAGCACCGGCUAACUACGUGCCAGCAGCCGCGGUAAUACGUAGGGUGCAAGCGUUAAUCGGAAUUACUGGGCGUAAAGCGUGCGCAGGCGGUUUGCUAAGACCGAUGUGAAAUCCCCGGGCUCAACCUGGGAACUGCAUUGGUGACUGGCAGGCUAGAGUAUGGCAGAGGGGGGUAGAAUUCCACGUGUAGCAGUGAAAUGCGUAGAGAUGUGGAGGAAUACCGAUGGCGAAGGCAGCCCCCUGGGCCAAUACUGACGCUCAUGCACGAAAGCGUGGGGAGCAAACAGGAUUAGAUACCCUGGUAGUCCACGCCCUAAACGAUGUCAACUAGUUGUUGGGGGUUCAUUUCCUUAGUAACGUAGCUAACGCGUGAAGUUGACCGCCUGGGGAGUACGGUCGCAAGAUUAAAACUCAAAUGAAUUGACGGGGUCAUAGCUGUUUCCU